AUGGAGAAACUCAAAUUUUCUCGGCAGGUAGAGUGGUGGCAGAAGAACAUCAUCUAUCCUGUUCGAAGUCUUUGGAUUUCCAUCGCCACACGUUUUGGAAUUCGUAAAACUGGGCUGAAGAAGCUAAAAAAUGAUGUGAGGGCUUGUGAAUAUGAGGAUAUUCAUGUGAUGUGGGAGAUGUUGAACGGAAAUGAAUCAUUAUCAGAGUUUGUCACACCUAAUCAAUCAUCAUGCUCUUGUGUGUCAUCAUAUAUCAAUUGUAUCCACCAACCUGAUGUAGCCACCCCUUAA